AUCAUAUCAUAGGGAACAUGUGUACUAAGUUUCAAGUUGAUGUAACUUUAACUUCAUCAAAAAUACCUUGACCAAAAACUUUAACCUGAACUUUGCACUAUCAUUUUCUAUGUUCAGUGGACCAUGAAAUUGGGGUCAAAACUAUAAUUUGGCAUUAAAAUUAGAAAGAUCAUAUCAUGGGGAACAUGUGUAUUAAGUUUCAAGUUGAUUGGACUUCAGCUUCAUCAAAAACUACCUCGACCAAAAACUUUAACCGGACGGACGAAUGGAGGCACAGACGGACGGACGGACGAACAGAGGCACAGACCAGAAAACAUAAUGCCCCUCUACUAUUGUAGGUGGGGCAUAAAAAUCAU
rnacentral:lncRNA from 1 species